rnacentral:guide_RNA from 1 species
UAUAAACAAACACAAUAUAAAGAGACAAAGGGUGAAUUCGUAUAUGAU